UACGAAGGGGGCUAGCGUUGCUCGGAAUCACUGGGCGUAAAGCGCACGUAGGCGGGUUCUUAAGUCAGGGGUGAAAUCCUGGAGCUCAACUCCAGAACUGCCUUUGAUACUGGGAAUCUCGAGUCCGGGAGAGGUGGGUGGAACUGCGAGUGUAGAGGUGAAAUUCGUAGAUAUUCGCAAGAACACCAGUGGCGAAGGCGGCUCACUGGCCCGGUACUGACGCUGAGGUGCGAAAGCGUGGGGAGCAAACAGG
rnacentral:rRNA from 1 species